CUACGGGGUGCUGCAGGCGAGAAAACUUUGCAAUGUGCGAAAGCACGACAAGGUUAAUCCGAGUGGUCUCUGCUAAAGGGACCUUUUGACGGUCCUAGAAACACUGUUGAAUAAGGGGUGGGCAAGUUCUGGUGUCAGACGCCGCGGUAAAACCAGCACCUCAAGUGGUCAGGAUGAUUAUUGGGCCUAAAGCAUCCGUAGCCCGCUUUGCCAGUUUUCGGUUAAAUCCAUAUGCUCAACAUAUGGGCUGCCGGGAAUACUACAAAGCUAGGGAGUGGGAGAGGUAGACGGUACUCGGUAGGAAGGGGUAAAAUCCUUUGAUCUAUUGAUGACCACCUGUGGCGAAGGCGGUCUACCAGAACACGUCCGACGGUGAGGGAUGAAAGCUGGGGGAGCAAACCGGAUUAGAUACCCUGGUAGUC
rnacentral:rRNA from 1 species